CACCCCCCCUCUGCCCCCGCACUGGUCUUCCAAGCAGAUUGAAGCAGCCUCAUCUCAUUCCUGAUUCAUCCUGGUCUCCUCAGUGGCUUGCUCCUGCAUUAGUAAUGUGAAACUGGCCUAAAUGGGUUUAAAAUGAUUGGAAGUUGAAAUCUUUCCUGACAAGGAAAAAAAAUCAGUUCUGAUCAGUUCAAAUCUAUUUUGUCCAGUUUAAAUCAAUUCUGCAGAGCUGGAGCCUAAGGUUGGUCACCUAGGAAGAUGGCUGAAGACUAUGCGGAUUCAAGCCAAAGCAAGGAAGCAGCAAUGUUUCCAUCAAAUGAAACUACUGGAUGGACUGUUUUAAGGAGCAAAGGAGAAAUUGUCAUUGAAGUAUUUUAUAAACCACAAAGCACAAUGUAGAUAUUCAGUUCUUGCCCUACAUCACACUGGACCUGUGGCCACCAGAAGUCCUGACAUGUGGUAUGCAGCAUCAUAAAGCACAGUGACCUGAGGCGAGGGGUGGUAGGGAUCAAAGAAAUCUCAAAGUUUGCUUCCUGGCCAUCCAGCAAGAUGAUCCAACAUUGGCUGGAAUUGAACUCGCAUGGGAUCUGAGUCACGUUGGAGUUGCUAUACAAGUUACGGCACCAAAAUGUCACAGGUGGAGAAAAGAUUAUCUUGGUUCUUUGUCUCACAGGGAACAAGAACUUCCAAGUAGACAAGGUAAAGACAAAAGCAAGAUACAUUUAAAAGCAAGAUUUAUUUAAGUCAGAGACCUUCAGCCAGAGUGGCCUGGAGGGGGGCUCCAAGAGAGGCAAAACCUGAAGGGGCUAGUGUUAUUGGGGCUUUUUAAAUUUUAACUUUAGAUUGAAUAUUUUCCAGAUCUUCAGAUACAGAAAUCAGAAGUCGGGGCUGGUGCUGUGGCAUAGCAGCACCGGCAUCCAUAUGGGCACAUGUUCCAGUCCUGUCUGUUCCACUUCCAAUCCAGCUCCCUGGUAAUGAGCCUGGGAAAACAGCAGAAGAUGAUCCAAGUACUUGAGUCCCUGCACUCACAUGAGAGAUCCUGAUGAAGCUCCUGGAUCCUGGCUUUGUUCUGGCCCUAGCCCCAGCCAUUGCAGCCAUAUACAGAGUGAACCAGUAGAUGGAAGAGCUCGCUCGCUCGCUCACUCUCUCUCUCUCUCUCUGUAAUUCUGCCUUUCAAGUAAAUAAAUAAAUCUUUCUAAAAAACAGAAGUGGUGUUAUAUUUUUUCUUUAAUUUUUUAUUUCUAGAAUUUUUGUUUUGGUUUUACUUUCAGAAGUUUAUGGUAUGUCUUGGCAAGAAUUUCUUUAGGUUUUCCUAUUUGACGUUCACACAGCUUGUUGAAUUUGUGGGUUUAUGUCUUUCAACAAAUUAGGGAAAUUUUCAAUUCUUUCUCCUUUUCUUCUGGGACCUGACAAUACGAAUGUUGGAUUUUUUGUUAUUGUCCCACAAGUCCCUGAGACACUACUUUUUUUGCCCCAGUUUAUUUCUUCAGAUUGAGUAACUCCUACCUAUAUAUUCCCAAAUUCACUAAUUCCAUCUUCUUACAUCUACACUUGACUAUUGAAUCUAACCUGUGAAUUUAAAAAAAAACUUAGCAUUCUAAUUUUUUCAGUACUUUCUAUUUCUUUAUUAUAAUUUCUAUUUCCUUACUGUGAUUUCAUGUUUUCAUGUAUUUCAAAUGAACUUGUAAUGCUUAUUAAGUCAUUUUAUGAUUUAAAAUUCUUGUCGCUAUAAAAUCCUUGUCAGAUAACUCCAACAACUGAUUUGUUUUGGUGUUGGCAUCAGUUGAUUGUUUUUUAUCAUUAAAAUUCUGAUUUUCUUUUUCUUGGUAUGGCAAGUGAUUUUUAAAAUUAUAUUUUAGACAUUUUGUCUCUUAUGUCAGUAGAUUCUGGGUUCUAGUUAAAAUUUUAAUUUUAGCAGGUUAAGUUUAGCAUCCAGGUUCUAUUUGCCCACUUUUGUGAACUAUGCUUUCAAUGACAGUCUGAUUUUCAGAACAUUUCCAGUGCUAUUCUGAUCUGCUUGAUCUGCCUUUUGCUACUGGGUCUCCCACUGGUCUCCACUGGUACUGCUUGAAGGACAAAAGAGGCUUCCUCAGGCAAGGCCACCUAGUGAUUUCAAGUGAGAAAUGGAAUCAUCUCUGCCCACUUCCCCUGGUCAUUUCUUAUCAGUAGACAGAUUCAACCCCUUGCCUGUGGUGCUGGUCUGGCCUUAUUUUGUGUGUUCUGCAGAAUGAAUGAACUUAUCUCUACCACCUUCUAUUGCUAAAUUAGAGGUCAGAAGAUUCCAGGCCUAGAUUAUUUUAUCACUAUUUAUUAUGAUGAUGAUUUAUGACUAUUGAAUGGUGUGAUAUAAGGCUCCCUGACUGUCUUUUUUAUGAACCUGGGAGCUCCUAAGCAGCUCUACCUUUUCGAGUUCUCCUUUUUCUGUUACCAUCAUUCUUAGUGGGGGCAAAGGGAAAAUUUAUGAAUUUAUGCUUUCUUUCCUGGACAGAAAAUCCUAAGUGUAUAUCCCUCCUUUACUUUUACUUGUACAACGAAAGCCAUUUUAAGUGGUGACUAGAGUGUGGGACUGACUUUGGUUGAGGAUCAACACAAUAUAGGAUAGAUCUUGAGAAUGUACAAAGGGCUAUGAAAUUUACGUGAGAAACAGGAAUGGUCUGAGCAACUUCAUCUUAUUUCUAGAGUAGUAUGAGUCCUGUUUCAAUUUAGCCAUUUGUAUAAAUCCUUUGAACUAUUGGAGCAAUAACAGGAGGUCAGCCUACACUGCUUUGAGUAUUUGAGGUAAUUGUACACAUUGUGGAAAGCUCUGGAAAAAGGCAGAGUAGAGGAAUUCCCUGGAUUUUGACCUGAAGUAAGUAUGUAAAGUAGAGUUCAGAUGAAGCAUGUUGCAAUGUUGUAAAAGACCUUUGCCCCAUUGAGGAAGGCUACCUUAUAGGGAAGCCUUAUAAAUUGUCUUAUUGGUAAAUUGCGUGCAUUACCUGAUUGUCAAUUUGAAACUGGCAUGUUAUGGAUAAGUAUACCCAACACUGUAGAAAAUAGAGUUUCAAAGGUAGAACUGAAACAGGAUGGGCUAUAUGCUCUCCAAAGUGUCUUCUGGCUUUAAAAUACCCCAGCAGAUUGGGACAGUGACCUUUAUAAUCAGUUGUCAUUUUGAGUCACCCUCUCAAAAGGUUUCCAUUUCUGGAGGAACCAUGACAUAGCUUGUUGGGUUGAACUCAAUUAUUAUUGCUAUUUCUGGCCAUGGUUACUGUUUUUCUCUUGGUUCUCUCAACUGAUCUUUGUCUGCAGUGACUAUGUGCAUCUUUUGUUUUUUCCUUCUAUAUAGUCAGUAUAGUUUGGGAUUUUACCUUGAUUUAUCUUUGUAACUCAUAAAAUACAGAGUCCAGCAUUGGAAAUUAUUAUCUAAAGUGUGGUUUUAUUAGUAAAGCUAGUAACUUUUAUUUUUUUAAACUUCUAUUUAAUAAAUAUAAAUUUCCAAAGUACAGCCUUUGGGUUACAGUGCCUCCCCCCACCCCAUAACUUCCCUCUCACACGCAACCCUCCCAUCUCCCGCUCCCUCUCCCAUCCCAUUCACAUCAAGACUCUUUUUCAAUUAUCUUUAUAUACAGAAAAUCAAUUUAGUAUAUACUAAGUACAGAUUUCAAGAGUUUGCACCCACACAGAAACACAAAGUAUAAAGUACUGUUUGACUACUAGUCACACUGUUAAAUCAAAUAGUACAACACAUCAAGGACAGAGAACCCACAUGGGGAGUAAGUGCACAGUGACUCCUCUUGUGGAUUUAACAAUUGACACUCUUCUUUAUGGCGUCAGUAAUCACCCGAGGCUCUUGUCUUGAGUUCCCAAGGUUAUGGAAGCCUUUUGAGUUCGACAACUCUGAUCUGAUUUAGACAAUAUAAUAGUCAAAGUGACAGUUCUCUCCUCCCUUCAGAGAAAGGUACUUCCCUCCUUGAUGGCCCAUUCUUUCUGCUGGGAUCUCACUCACAGAGAUACUUCAUUUAGGUUUUUUUUUGUUGGCCAGAAUGUCUUGGCUUUCCAUGCCUGAAACACUCCCAUGGACUUUUUACCUGGAUCCGAAUGCCUUAAGGGCUGAUCCUGAGGCCAGAGUGCUGUUUAGGACAUCUGCCAUUCUAUGAGUCUGCUGUGUAUCCCACUUCCCAUGUUGGAUCAUUCUCUCCUUUUUAAUUCUAUCAGUAUUAGCAAUCACUAGUCUUGUUUAUGCGAUCCCUUUGACCCUUAAUCCCAUCACCAUGAUCAGUUAUGAACUGAAACUGAUCACUUUGACUAGUGAGAUGGCGUUGGUACAUGCCACCCUGCUGGGAUUGUAUUGGAAUCCCUUGGCACAUUUCUAACUCUACCAUUUGGGGCAAGUCUGAUUGACCAUGUCCCAAAUUGUACAUCUCCUACCUCUCUUAUUCCCACUCUUAUAUUUAACAGAGAUCACUUUUCAGUUAAAUUUAAACACCUAAGAAUAAUUGUGUGUUAAUUAAAGAGUUCAACCAAUAGUAUUAAGUAGAACAAAAAAAAUACUAAAAGGAAUAAAGUAUUAAGUUGUACCUCGACAGUCAGGACAAGGGCUGAUCAAGACAUUGUUUCUCAUAGUGUCCAUUUCACUUCAACAGGUUUCCCCUUUGGUACUCGGUUACUUGUCACCGAUCAGGGAGAACAUAUGAUAUUUGUCCCUUUGGGACUGGCUUAUUUUACUCAGCAUAAUGUUUUCUAGAUUAAUCCAUCUUGUUGCAAAUGACUGGAUUUCAUUUCUUUUACUGCUGCAUAGUAUAAUAUAGAGUACAUAUCCCAUAAUUUCUUUAUCCAGUCUACUGUUGAUGGGCAUUUAGGUUGAUUCCAAGUCUUAGCUAUUGUGAAUUGAGCUGCAAUAAACAUUGAGGUGCAGACAGCUCUUUUAUUUGCCAAUUUAAUUUCCUUUGGGUACAUUCCAAGGAGUGGGAUGGCUGGGUUGUAUGGUAGGGUUAUAUUCAGGUUUCUGAGGAAUCUCCAGACUGACUUCCAUAGUGGCUUGACCAGUUUGCAUUCCCACCAACAGUGGGUUAGUGUCCCUUUUUCCCCACAUCCUUGCCAGCUUCUGUUGUUGGUAGAUUUCUGUAUGUGAGCCAUCCUAACGGGGGUGAGGGGAAACCUCAUUGUGCUUUUGAUUUCCAUUUCCCUGAUUGCUAGUGAUCCUGAACAUAUUUUCAUAUGUCUGUUGGCCAUUUGGAUUUCCUCUUUUGAAAAAUGUCUAUUGAGGUCCUUGGCCCAUCUCUUAAGUGGGUUGUUUGUUUUGUUGUUAUGGAGUUUCUUGAUCUCUUUGUAUAUUCUGCUUAUUAAUAAAUAUAAAUUUCCAAAGUAUAGCUUAUGUAUUACAAUGCCCCCCCCAUAACUUACCUCUCACACACAACCCUCCCAUCUCCCACUCCCUCUCUCAUUCCAUUCGCAUCAAGAUUCAUUUUCAAUUCUUUAUAUACAGAAGAUCAAUUUAGUAUAUAUUAAGUAAAGAUUUCAACAGUUUCCAGCCACACAGAAGCACAAAGUAUAAAGUACUGUUUGAGUACAGUUAUACCGAAAAUUCACAUAGUACAACACAUUAAGGACAGAGACCCUACAUGAGGAGUAAGUGCAUAGUGACUCCUGUUGUUGACUUAACAAAUUGACACUCUUGUUUAUGGCAUCAGUAAUCUCCCUAGGCUCUUGUCAUGAGUUGCCAAGGCUAUGGAAGCCUCUUGAGUUUGCCAACUUCGAUCUUAUUUAAACAAGGUCAUAGUCAAAGUGGAAGUUCUCUCCUCCCUUCAGAGAAAGGUACCUCCUUCUUUUAUGGCCCGUUCUUUCUCCUGGGAUCUCGCAGAGAUUCUUCAUUUAGGUUUUUUUGUUGGCCAGAAUGUCUUGGCUUUCCAUGCCUGAAAUACUCUCAUGGGCUCUUCAGCCAGAUAUGAGUGCUUUAAGGACUAAUUCAGAGACCAGAGUGCUGUUUAGGACAUCUGCCAUUUUAUGAGUCUGCUGUGUAUCCUGCUUCCCAUGUUGGAAUGUUCUCCCCUUUUUUAUUCUAUCAGUUAGUAUUAGCAGACACAAGUCUUGUUUGUGUGAUCCCUUUGACUCUUAGUCCUUUCAUUAUGAUCAAUUGUGAACUGAAAUUGAUCACUUGGACUAGUGAGAUGGCAUUGUUGUUUUGAUUUUCAUUUCCCUAAUUGCUAGUGAUCCUGAACAUUUUUCAUGUGUCUGUUGGCCAUUUGGAUUUCUUCUUUUGAAAAAUAUCUAUUGAGGUCCUUGGCCCAUCUCUUAAGUGGGUUGUUCGUUUUGUUGCCUGCGCCUAUAUAUGUAGAGUUUCUCCAAUGUUCUCUAAUAAGUUGAUGGUGUCGGGUCAUAGAUUUAAAUCUUUAAUCCAUGUCGAGUGGAUUUUUGUGUAAGGUGAAAGGUAGGGGUCUUGCUUCAUGCUUCUGCAUGUGGAAAUCCAGUUUUCCCAGCACCAUUUGUUGAAUAGACUGUCCUUGCUCCAGGAAUUGGUUUUAGAUCCUGGAUCAAAUAUAAGUUGGCUGUAGAUGUUUGGGUUGAUUUCUGGUGUUUCUAUUGUGUUCCAUUGGUCUAUCCAUCUGUUUCUGUACCAGUACCAUGCUGUUUUUUAUUAGAACUGCCCUGUAGUAUGUCCUAAAAUCUGGUAUUGUGAUGCCUCCAUCUUUGUUUUUGUUGUACAAGAUUGCUUUAGCUAGUCGAGGUCUCCUGUGCCUCCAUAUGAAUUUUAGCAUCAUUUUUUCCAGAUUUGAGAAGAAUUUUUGGUAUUUUGAUUGGUAUUGCAUCGAAUCUAUAAAUUGCUUUUGGGAGAAUGGACAUUUUGAUGAUAUUGAUUCUUCCAAUCAUGAGCAUGGAAGAUUUUUCCAUUUUUUGGUAUCCUCUUCUAUUUCUUUCUUUAAGAUUUUGUAAUUUUCAUCCCAGAGAUCUUUAAUGUCCUUGGUUAAGUUUAUUUAUUAUUUGAUUGCUUUUGUAGCAAUUGUGAAUGGGAUUGAUCUUAGAAGUUCUUCCUCAGCUGUGGCAUUGCCUGUGUAUACAAAGGCUGUUGAUUUUUGUGCAUUGAUUUUAUAUCCUGCUACUUUGCCAAACUCUUCUAUGAGUUCCAAUAGUCUCUUAGUAGAGUUCUUUGGAUCCCCCAGGUAAAGAAUCAUAUCAUCUGUAAAGAGGGAUAGUUUGAGUUCUUUCUUCCCAAUUUGUAUCCCUUUAAUUUCUUUUUCUUGUCUAAUGGCUCUGGCUAAAACUUCCAGAACUAUAUUGAAUAGCAGUGGUGAGAAUGGGCAUCCCUGUCUGGUACCAGGUCUCAGUGGAAAUGCUUCCAACUUUUCCCCAAUCAAUAGGAUGCUUGCAUGGGUUUUUUAUAUUGCUUUGAUUGUAUUGAGGAAUGUUCCAUCUGUACCCAAUUUUCUUAGAGUUUUCAUCAUGAAAUGGUGUUGUAUUUUUUUUUUGACAGGCAGAGUGGACAGUGAGAGAGAGAGACAGAGAGAAAUGCCUUCCUUUGCCGUUGGUUCACCCUCCAAUGGCAGCUGCGGCCAGCGCGCUGCGGCCGGCGCACUGCGCUGAUCCGAUGGCAGGAGCCAGGUACUUAUCCUGGUCUCCCAUGGGGUGCAGGGCCCAAGGACUUCGGCCAUCCUCCACUGCACUCCCUGGCCACAGCAGAGAGCUGGCCUGGAAGAGGGGCAACCAGGACAGAAUCCGGCGCCCCGAACGGGACUAGAACCUGGUGUGCCAGCGCCACAAGGUGGAGGAUUAGCCUAGUGAGCCACGGCGCCGGCCUAAUGGUUUUGUAUUUUAUCGAAUGCUUUCUGUGCAUCUAUUGAGAUAAUCAUAUGGUGUUUCUUCUUCAGUUUGUUAAUGUGGUGUAUCACAUUGAUUGAUUUGAAAAAGUUAAACCAUUGGAGAGAAAUCAAAAUGAAAUGAAGAAUUCAAUGUAACAAAUGACUAACGCAUUUGAGAGCCUUAAAAUAGAAUCAGUGAGAUAAAAGAGAGAAUAUCGGACUUAGAAGACAGAGCACAGGAAAGUAUAUAGUCAAACCAAAGGAAAGAAGAGGAAAUUAGAAAUCUAGAAAAUAUUGUUGGGAAUCUACACGACACUAUUAAAAAAACCAACAUUCGGGUUCUAGGAGUUCCUGAAGGCAUGGAAAGAGAAAAAGGAUUAGAAGGCCUUUUUAGUGAGAUACUAUAAGAACACUUCCCGGGUUUGGAGAAGGACAGAGACAUCCAAGUACAGGAAGCCAAUCCCCAAUAAAUGUGACCAAGAGAUCCUCACCACAGCACAUUGUAAUCAAACUCACCACAGUGAAACAUAAAGAAAAGAUUCUAAAAUGUGUAAGAGAAAAAUGUCAGAUUACUCUCAGAGGAUCUCCAAUUAGACUCACAGCUGACUUCUCAUCAGAAACCCUACAGGCUUGGAGGGAAUGGUGAGAUAUAGCCUGGGUACUAAGAGAGAAAAACUGCCAGCCCAGAAUAUUAUAUACUGCAAAGCUCUCAUUUGUGAAUGAAGGUGAAAUAAAGACCUUUCAUAGCAAACAGAAAUUGGAAGAAUUUGUCACCACUUUUCCAGCCCUGCAAAAGAUGCUUAGAGAUGUGUUACACACAGAAACAAAGAAACAUGGCCAUCAAAAUGAAAGAAGGUAAAGGAAGAAAACCUCUCAGUAGGCCGGUGCCGCGGCUCACUAGGCUAAUCCUCCGCCUAGCGGCGCCGGCACACCAGGUUCUAGUCCCGGUUGGGGCGCCGGAUUCUGUCCCGGUUGCCCCUCUUCCAGGCCAGCUCUCUGCUGUGGCCAGGGAGUGCAGUGGAGGAUGGCCCAGGUGCUUGGGCCCUGCACCCCAUGGGAGACCAGGAAAAGCACCUGGCUCCUGGCUCCUGCCAUUGGAUCAGCGUGGUGCACCGGCCGCAGCACACCAGCCACGGCGGCCAUUGGAGGGUGAACCAACGGCAAAGGAAGACCUUUCUCUCUGUCUCUCUCUCUCACUGUCCACUCUGCCUGUCAAAAAAUAAAAAUAAAUAAAUAAAUAAAUAAAAAGAAAACCUCUCAGUAAAAGUUCACAGGAAGUUCAAGGCAUAUAUUAGAAAUAUCUUUGGGAAAAUGGUAGGGCAAAGUCUCUACUUAUCAAUAGUCACAUUGAAUGUUUUUGGUCUUAACUCUCCAGAUAAAAGACACAGACUUGUUGAAUGGAUUAAGGAACAAAAGCCAUCUAUUUGCUGCUUACAAGAAACACAUCUUUCCAACAAAGAUGCAUUCAGACUGAAAGUGAAAGGUUGGAAAAAUAUAUUCCAUGCCAACAGAAACCAUCUUAGUAUCAGACAAAAUAAAUUUUAACACAAAAACUGUUAAGAGAGACAAAGAGGGGCACUAUAUAAUGAUUAAGGGAUCAAUUCAACAGGAAGAUGUAAUUAUCAUAAAUGUAUAUGCACCCAAUUACAGGGCACUGGUUCAUUUAAAAGAUAUGUUAAGAGACUUAAAGGGAGACUUACUCCAAUACAAUAGUACUGGGGGACUUCAAUACUCCACUCUCAGAAAUAGACGGAUCAACCAGACAGAAGAUCAACAAGGAAACAGCAGAUUUAAUCGACACUAUUGCCCAAAUGGAUCUAACAGGUAUCUACAGAACUUUCAAUCCUACAUUUAAAGAAUUUACAUUCUUCUCAGCAGUGCAUGGAACCUUCUCUAGGAUUGACCACAUACUAGGCCAUAAAGAAAGUCUCAGCAAAUUUAAAGUAAUUAGAAUCAUACCAUGCAGCUUCUCAGACCAUAAAGGAAUGAAGUUGGAAAUUAGCAACUCAGGAAUCCCUAGAGAGUAUGCAAACACAUGGAGACUGAACAACAUGCUCCUGCAUGAACAAUGGGUCAUUCAAGAAAUCCAAAGAGAAAUAAAAAACUUUCUGGAAGUAAAUGAGGAUAACAGCACAACAUACCAAAACUUAUGGGAUACAGCAAAAGCAGUAUUAAGGGGAAAGUUUAUAGCAAUAGGUGCCUACAUCAAGAAAUUGGAAAGGCACCAAAUAAAUGAGCUUUCAAUGCAUCUCAAGGAUCUAUAAAAACUUCAGCAAACCAGACCAAAAAAUCUGUAGGAAAAGAGAAAUAAUAAAAAUUAGAGAAGAAAUCAACAGAAUUGAAUCCAAAAAAAAUUACAAAAGAUCAGCCAAGCCAAGAGCUGGUUUUUUGAAAAAAUAAACAAAAUUGACACCCCGUUGACUCAACUAACUAAAAAAAGAAGAGAAAAGACCCAAAUCAAAAGUAAAAUCAGAGAUGAAAAAGAGAAUGUAACAACAGACACCACAGAAAUGAAAAGAGUCAUCAGAAAUUAGAACAAAGAGUUGUAUGCCAGCAAACAGGGAAAUCUAUCAGAAAUGGAUAGAUUCCUGGACACAUGCAAUCUACCUAAAUUAAACCAGGAAGGCAUAGAAAACCUAAACAGACCCAUAACUGAGACAGAAAUUGAAUCAGUAAUUAAGUCCCUCCCAACAAAGAAAAGACCAGGAUUCACUGCUGAAUUCUACCAGACAUUUAAAGAAGAACUAACUCCAAUUAUUCUCAAACUAUUCAGAACAAUCAAAAAAGAGGGAAUCCUCCUAAACUCUUUCUUUGAAGCCAGCAUCACCUUAAUCCCUAAGCCUGAAAAAGAUGCAGCAUUGAAAGAGAAUUACAGACCAAUAUCCCUGAUGAACAUAGACUCAAAAUCCUCAAUAAAACUCUGGCCAAUAGAAUGCAACAACACAUCAGAAAGAUCAUCCACCCAGGCCAAGUGGGAUUUAUCCCUGGUAUGCAUGGAUGGUUCAAUGUGUGCAAAACAAUCAAUGUGAUACACCACAUUAACAGACUGCAGAAGAAAAACCAUAUGAUUAUCUCAAGUGUGGUCUUAACAGCUCAUAAUAGAGUGGAACUGUCAUCUUCCUAAAUCUGAACAUUAUGUUUCAGCAAAUGCGACCCAGCUUUACUUGACUUUUUGACAGCUUGCUGACUCAUUUUAAACUCAGAGUCAACUAACUAGGCCUUAGUUUGCAAAUCUAUUCUGUAGCAAACUCCUAUCCUUUCAGUAACAUCCUUUUAUUGUCUAUUUUUGGAACUACAUGCAUAGGAACUGUGUGGAAAUCUUUGAGGCAAUAUUUAUUUUUAAAAGGUUCUUUUAUUUGAAAGGCAGGGAAUUGGGAAAGGAUGAGGAAAAGUUAGAGAUAGAGAGAGAUUCUAUUCUCUGGUUCACUCCCCAAAAUGGCCACAGUUACCAGGGCUGGGCCAGGGUAAAGCCAGGAACGAGGAACUGCAUCCAAGUCUCACACAGUGUGGCAGGGACCCAAGUCCUUGAGCCAUCAUCUCUUGUCUCCCAGGCACAUUAGCAGGAAGUUGGAUCAGAAGUGGAGGACUCAGGACUGUACCAGAUACUCUGACAUGUGAUGUGGGCAUAAGCAUCAACUUAACCCAGUGUACUGCAAUGCUCACCCCCAAAAUUUAACUCUGAUAUGUAAAGCAGUUUCUUGGGAUUGUGUCUCCAACAUGUAAACAAUCAGUUAAAGUUUUUUUUUUAAUUUAGUUAUUAAUCUCCUUUCCUAUUUGCCACACCUAAUUCCUCACUUUCAGUCUUCAAAUUUUUACUGUGUUUAUGUCAUAAAGGUAGUGGCUGGAAUGCUCCAUGUUCAGUUUCUUUGCACCUGUCUGUCGUGAGCCUUUGGGUCUCUUCCAUACUGAGCUUGCUCAAAACCAUGAACAGUUUGCUGUAAUUGGCCAAGAACAACAUGGACAGCUAUGCCAGAUAAGGCCAGACUAACGGGAACUUUGGCUCCAGGGUGUGGGUGGAUUACCUAAGGGGUCAAUAGGGAUAAGCAUCUGGGAGCCACCCCCUCCUGAGCUCUUAGUAAAGGCUCGCCCCAUCUCAGAGGUCAUCAGAAGGAUGAGUCAGGAGGAAUACUACAGCAUGAUUGAGUAUUCCUGAACUCCAAACCCAAGCCCAGGCAGACAGACCAUCUGAAGGGAAUUUGGAUUUAUUGGCAUCCAAGAACAAUGUGGGUUUUACCACAGGAAGGACAUUUUGGCUAUGGAAUGAGUGAGGGAGAUGAGACUUUCUUUUUCAAGUCUGUAGCAAUAGGCUAGCAUUAUGUACACAUGGCAUGCAUGCUUAUUUUCUAGUGCUCUCUGGCUGGAAGGCAGGGGAAGGGAAGAUAUAUGUGUAAGAAUUUUAUGAUAGAUGGAUCAGUUCCAUCUUCAUUGGGACUUCUCUGAUGAAAUCUAUUCAAUAAGUCAGGUUCUUCUCUGAAAACCUAUCAUUAAAUUAUUUGAAGCAGAACAGAAGACUAGCAGAAUUUGUCGUCUUCUCUUUGUCUCUCCCUUCUUAAAAAAUAGAAGGGAAGGGAGGGAAGGAGGGGGAGAGAAAUAUCACUCCCAUAUACUGAUUGACUCCCCCAAAUACCCACAAUCGUCAGAGCUGGGCCAGAGAUGGGGCCAGAGAUGGAGCCAUGAGCUGGAAAUACAAUCCAGGUCUCCCACAUGGGUGGCAAGGACAUGUCUACUCAGGUUCUCCUGGGUGGCCAUUACUAUUGCUUCUCAAGGUCUACAUUAGCAGUAAACUGGAGUAAGGAGCUGAAGUUGGGCAUCCGACCCAGGCACUCUGAUAGGGGAUGCAGGUGUCUUAACCCCUAGGCUAAAUGUCCACUCCCUGACUCUCCCAGAAAAGGUUGUAUACUCUCUAUACAUGCACUAUUCAGUCUUCUUUCAUCCUCUCCCAACACUCACACUUUUCCUGAUUUACUACCCCAUAGCAUGAGGCAUUUCUAAUGGGUGUGUUCUUGCUUGAUAAUAUCUUUCAUAAGAACCUUAUCACAGGGGCCAGUGCUGUGGCGUAGCAGGUAAAGCUGCAGCCUGUAGUGCUGGCAUCCUAUAUGGGUGCUGGUUUGAGUCCUAGCUGCACCACUUCUGAUCCAGCUCCCUGCUAAUAUGUCUGGGAAAGCAGCAGAAGAUUGCUCAAGUCCUUGGGACCCUGCACCUACGUGAGAGACCUGGAAAACCUCCUGGAUCUUGGCUUCUGAUGGGCCCAGCUCUGAUCAUUGUGGCCCUUUGGGGACUGACCCAGCAGAUGGAAGAUUCAUUCUCUCUCUCUCUCUCUUUCUCUAUCUCUCUCCCUCUGCCUCUGCCUUUCUGUAACUCUACAUUUCAAAUAAAUAAAAAUUUUUUUUUAAAGAACCUUAUCACAGAAGUCAUUGACCAGGUAACCCGCCUCUGUCUUUUUUUUCUGGCAUAGUUGUUGAGGUUUCUAGAGUUACUGUCCUCCUGAGACAGGGCAGGAUUGGGAAGCAGCUUUUCUUAGCAGAAAUACUGCUGACAGUUUAGGCGUUAGGAAACUUUUUGCUGGGAAAUUGAGGUGAGAAAUCAUAAGGGGAGAAAAGGGUAUGUUCUGAUGAUCUAAAACUAUUGCAAAGUCACUUUUCCCAAAAGGUACAUUGUAUUACUUCUUGGAUUGUUACGUUGUGGGGGUGGCAAUGGGAGUGGGGUGUGGAGGUAGGAUGAGUAACACUUUUGGAGCAUAAGGCUCAAAAGCUCAGUGGAAAUGCUACAUUUUUUCCAUUUUAUGUCUAGUUGAGACUAUAUUAAAGAGAACAAAAAUGAAAAAAUGAAAACUACCUCCAGAAACUCUCCCUAGAACACUUUGCAAUUGUUCUACCUUGUAGGAGACUCUAAUAAAAGUCUAAGUUUAAUCUCUUCAUCUCUCCUUUAUGAAAAAAUCAUGAGUUUUGUUUUUUCUUUAAGUGGUAGGAUAAAUUUCUUUGAGCUUAAAGGGAAAAAUGGCAUCAAUAAGACUCAUUUUGUUUCCUUCAUUUUUCAUACUGUCUUUCACCUUCGGUUAAAAGAUGCAUCCUGGAAACACUAUUUAAUAAUCAUAAAAUAAUGUAGAAGUCAUAGAGUGAAGCGAUUAAGAGUGUAGAUUCACACAACAGAAUGUCUGAGUUCAAAUCUUGGCUCAGCUGCUUACUAAAUUUAUGGUCAUGGACAAGGCAUUUAAUAUUCCCACACCUUACUUUCCUCACCUCAAAAAAGGAGAUAAUAGCAUCUGUCUCAGAGUUAUUAUAUAAAUUAAAUCACACACACACACACACACUGCUUGAUACUAUAUUUGUAUUAACUCUUUUUUUUUUUAAGGGAAAGGGUUUAUUGGGGGAAACCCAACAGACUAGAGGGAAGGAGCGAAGAGGGAAAAAGAGGGAGAUGGAGAGUGUAAGAGAGAGAUCCAGAGAGACAUCAAAAGACAGAGAGAGACAGACAGACAGAGAUCGGGAGACAGAGAGAAAGAGAGCCACAUGUACAGGAACGGGUCCUUUUAAAACUGCCAGGGCGCAGGCAGGGAAGUAGGAGCAGUGAAUCCCAUUAGGAUGGGAGUGGAGUUUGACACUGGUGGUUGGGCCCUGUGGCCACCUGGCUUCCAGUAAUGAGGGUGGGGUGGGGUGGGGUGGUGUGGG